CUCUUAAUGCACACGCUUGAGCCCAUUGGGUGCACUCCUGAGAUGUUAUCUGACAGCUGCUGAUCACCAGUUUCAGGUGUUUCCUGUCCAUAGGGAGACCACCAUUCUCUGACACUGGCUGUGACCUAUUAUUAUGUUAAAGGCGCAGUGUGACAACCACCUGACCGUCACCUGAUGGUCACCUGACUUUCCUGGGAGAAUUCCAGGCAUGCACCAAGUGAUGUGGCAUCAGCAGGUCCCCAUCAGAGCUGUGGAGGUGGCUUCUGUCUCACGACGGUUCUUGUCUUCUUUGCUCACAAACCCGGGAAUGCUCUUGAUCUCUGCACCUUCCACUCCUGUUCCUCAGGUUUCAGUCAAAGUGUGAGUCCCCAGGUGUCCAAUAAAAGCAUUUUCCCAUCUAA